rnacentral:rRNA from 1 species
AUUGAACGCUGGCGGCAGGCCUAACACAUGCAAGUCGAGCGGAUGAAGGGAGCUUGCUCCUGGAUUCAGCGGCGGACGGGUGAGUAAUGCCUAGGAAUCUGCCUGGUAGUGGGGGAUAACGUCCGGAAACGGGCGCUAAUACCGCAUACGUCCUGAGGGAGAAAGUGGGGGAUCUUCGGACCUCACGCUAUCAGAUGAGCCUAGGUCGGAUUAGCUAGUUGGUGGGGUAAAGGCCUACCAAGGCGACGAUCCGUAACUGGUCUGAGAGGAUGAUCAGUCACACUGGAACUGAGACACGGUCCAGACUCCUACGGGAGGCAGCAGUGGGAAUAUUGGACAAUGGGCGAAAGCCUGAUCCAGCCAUGCCGCGUGUGUGAAGAAGGUCUUCGGAUUGUAAAGCACUUUAAGUUGGGAGGAAGGGCAGUAAGUUAAUACCUUGCUGUUCUGACGUUACCAACAGAAUAAGCACCGGCUAACUUCGUG